UCCGGCUUAUCACCGGCAGUCCCCUUAGAGUGCCCAACUAAAUGAUGGCAACUAAGGGCGAGGGUUGCGCUCGUUGCGGGACUUAACCCAACAUCUCACGACACGAGCUGACGACAGCCAUGCAGCAUCUGUGCAUGGACUCCGAAGAGCGACCCUGAUCUCUCAGGAUCUUCCCAUGCAUGUCAAGCCCAGGUAAGGUUCUUCGCGUUGCGUCGAAUUAAACCACACGCUCCGCUGCUUGUGCGGGCCCCCGUCAAUUCCUUUGAGUUUCAGUCUUGCGACCGUACUCCCCAGGCGGAGUGCUUAAUGUGUUGACUUCGGCACAGCAGGGGUCGAUACCCGCUACACCAAGCACUCAUCGUUUACGGCGUGGACUAC
rnacentral:misc_RNA from 1 species